rnacentral:rRNA from 1 species
GACGAACGCUGGCGGCGUGCUUAACACAUGCAAGUCGAACGGAAAGGCCCUGCUUUUGUGGGGUGCUCGAGUGGCGAACGGGUGAGUAACACGUGAGUAACCUGCCCUUGACUGUGGGAUAACUUCAGGAAACUGGGGCUAAUACCGGAUAGGAGCUCCUGCUGCAUGGUGGGGGUUGGAAAGUUUCGGCGGUUGGGGAUGGACUCGCGGCUUAUCAGCUUGUUGGUGGGGUAGUGGCUUACCAAGGCUUUGACGGGUAGCCGGCCUGAGAGGGUGACCGGCCACAUUGGGCCUGAGAUGCGGCCCAGCCUCCUCCGGGAGGCAGCAGUGGGGUAUAUUGCACAAUGGGCGGAAGCCUGAUGCAGCCACGCCGCGUGCGGGAUGACGGCCUUCGGGUUGUAAACCGCUUUCGCCUGUGACGAAGCGUGAGUGACGGUAAUGGGUAAAGAAGCACCGGCUAACUCCGUG